rnacentral:rRNA from 1 species
GCUACCAUGCAGUCGAGGGGCAGCAUUUUAGUUUGNUUGCAAACUAAAGAUGGCGACCGGCGCAUUUNUGAGUAACACGCUAUCCAACCUGCCGAUAACUCGGGGAUAGCCUUUCGAAAGAAAGAUUAAUAUCCGAUAGUAUAUUAAAACCGCAUGGUUUUACUAUUAAAGAAUUUCGGUUAUCGAUGGGGAUGCGUUCCAUUAGUUUGUUGGCGGGGUAACGGCCCACCAAGACUACGAUGGAUAGGGGUUCUGAGAGGAAGGUCCCCCACAUUGGAACUGAGACACGGUCCAAACUCCUACGGGAGGCAGCAGUGAGGAAUAUUGGUCAAUGGACGAGAGUCUGAACCAGCCAAGUAGCGUGAAGGAUGACUGNCCCUAUGGGUUGUAAACUUCUUUUAUAUGGGAAUAAAGUAUUCCACGUGUGGGGAUUUUGUAUGUACCAUAUGAAUAAAGGAUCGGCUAACUCCGUGCCAGCAGCCGCGGUAAUACGGAGGAUCCGAGCGUUAUCCGGAUUUAUUGGGUUUAAAGGGAGCGUAGGUGGAUUGUUAAGUCAGUUGUGAAAGUUUGCGGCUCAACCGUAAAAUUGCAGUUGAAACUGGCAGUCUUGAGUACAGUAGAGGUGGGCGGAAUUCGUGGUGUAGCGGUGAAAUGCUUAGAUAUCACGAAGAACUCCGAUUGCGAAGGCAGCUCACUAGACUGCAACUGACACUGAUGCUCGAAAGUGUGGGUAUCAAACAGGAUUAGAUACCCUGGUAGUCCACACAGUAAACGAUGAAUACUCGCUGUUUGCGAUAUACAGUAAGCGGCCAAGCGAAAGCAUUAAGUAUUCCACCUGGGGAGUACGCCGGCAACGGUGAAACUCAAAGGAAUUGACGGGGGCCCGCACAAGCGGAGGAACAUGUGGNUUUAAUUCGAUGAUACGCGAGGAACCUUACCCGGGGCUUAAAUUGCAUUUGAAUAAUCUGGAAACAGGUUAGCCGCAAGGCAAAUGUGAAGGUGCUGCAUGGUUGUCGUCAGCUCGUGCCGUGAGGUGUCGGCUUAAGUGCCAUAACGAGCGCAACCCUUAUCUUUAGUUACUAACAGGUCAUGCUGAGGACUCUAGAGAGACUGCCGUCGUAAGAUGUGAGGAAGGUGGGGAUGACGUCAAAUCAGCACGGCCCUUACGUCCGGGGCUACACACGUGUUACAAUGGGGGGUACAGAAGGCAGCUACCUGGCGACAGGAUGCUAAUCCCAAAAACCUCUCUCAGUUCGGAUCGAAGUCUGCAACCCGACUUCGUGAAGCUGGAUUCGCUAGUAAUCGCGCAUCAGCCAUGGCGCGGUGAAUACGUUCCCGGGCCUUGUACACACCGCCCGUCAAGCCAUGAAAGCCGGGGGUACCUGAAGUACGUAACCGCAAGGAGCUCCUAGGAAAC